rnacentral:rRNA from 1 species
UACGUAGGGUGCAAGCGUUAAUCGGAAUUACUGGGCGUAAAGCGUGCGCAGGCGGCUUUGCAAGACAGAUGUGAAAUCCCCCGGGCUCAACCUGGGAACUGCAUUUGUGACUGCAUGGCUAGAGUACGGUAGAGGGGGGAUGGAAUUCCGCGUGUAGCAGUGAAAUGCGUAGAUAUGCGGAGGAACACCGAUGGCGAAGGCAAUCCCCCUGGACCUGUACUGACGCUCAUGCACGAAAGCGUGGGGGAGCAAACAGG